rnacentral:rRNA from 1 species
GACGAACGCUGGCGGCGUGCUUAACACAUGCAAGUCGAACGAUGAAGCCCAGCUUGCUGGGUGGAUUAGUGGCGAACGGGUGAGUAACACGUGGGUGAUCUGCCCUGCACUCUGGGAUAAGCCUGGGAAACUGGGUCUAAUACCGGAUAUGACCUCGGGAUGCAUGUCCUGGGGUGGAAAGUUUUUCGGUGCAGGAUGAGCCCGCGGCCUAUCAGCUUGUUGGUGGGGUAAUGGCCUACCAAGGCGACGACGGGUAGCCGGCCUGAGAGGGCGACCGGCCACACUGGGACUGAGACACGGCCCAGACUCCUACGGGAGGCAGCAGUGGGGAAUAUUGCACAAUGGGCGCAAGCCUGAUGCAGCGACGCCGCGUGAGGGAUGACGGCCUUCGGGUUGUAAACCUCUUUCACCCAUGACGAAGCGCAAGUGACGGUAGUGGGAGAAGAAGCACCGGCUAACUACGUGCCAGCAGCCGCGGUAA